rnacentral:rRNA from 1 species
AGUUGUUCCCUUAAGUGGGGUAACGAACGCAACCCUUAUCUCGCGUUACAAGUGUCGCGAGAGACUGCCUCGGUAUACGGGGAGGAAGGCGAGGAUGACGCCAAGUCCGCAUGUCCCUCUGAUGCCCUGGGCUACACACGUGCUACAAUGCCCGCCACAAUGGGUCGCGAAGCCGCGAGGCAGAGCUAACCCCAUCAAAAGCGGGCCCAGUUCGGAUUGGAGUCUGCAACCCGACUCCAUGAAGUUGGAAUCGCUAGUAAUCGCAGGUCAGCUAUACUGCGGUGAAUACGUUCUCGAGUCUUGUACUCACCGCCCGUCAAUGCAGGGAAGCCGGGAGUACCCGAAUCCCGCUUAUAGCGGGAGAAGGUAAGCUCGGUGACAAAGCAUAAGUCGUAACAAGGCACGGCUAGCGGAAGCUG